CUAGAAGGUGAUGGGAACCACAACAAAGUAAACACGCUCUCCAAACCACUCGGCUGUAAUGAUGUUAUUAGUAUGCAUGUUACUGAGCCCAGAUGUAGCCUUUAACAGCCCAAGCCCUUCCAGUGCUUUUUGUUAGAAUGGCUGCAGAUUCCUUUCAACGUGCGACACUGGGACACCAGAGGUGCAAAGGGCGGGAUCGGAGGAUAAUUUGUGUUGGCAGCUGUUGAGAACAGAGGAAGGAAUAGAUGAUGGCACCAAAUCCUGCCCUGGAGCUGAGCAGGGCUCGAAGAGCAGCCCCGUGUGGAGAAGCAGAUGGAGCUCUGCAAAGUAUCAGCAUGCUGGAUUUUAUGGAGCAUUUCUAAAGCUGAGGGAAAACUGUCUGGGAAUUUCUAGGUCAGGUAACCUUGCUCUCUCUUGUGGAAAGCCUGAGGAGCUCCAGGAGGGAUUUAAGGAAGAGAUCUUCCUCUCCUGUUCAGGUGAAUAGUCAUGAAUUAGACUCUUGGGAGACUAAAGCAGUAUAAAUACAUAAGGAAAUCUUU
rnacentral:lncRNA from 13 species